UACGGGGGGAGCAAGCGUUGUUCGGAUUUACUGGGCGUAAAGGGCGCGUAGGCGGUCAGCACAAGUCAGUUGUGAAAUCUCCGGGCUUAACCCGGAAAGGUCAACUGAUACUGUGCGACUAGAGUGCGGAAGGGGCAACUGGAAUUCUCGGUGUAGCGGUGAAAUGCGUAGAUAUCGAGAGGAACACCUGCGGCGAAGGCGGGUUGCUGGGCCGACACUGACACUGAAAAGCGAAAGCCAGGGGAGCAAACGGG
rnacentral:rRNA from 1 species